rnacentral:pre_miRNA from 1 species
UCAAUAUUCCUUUCGUUCCGAAUUACUUGUCGGAUGUAUGGAUGUAUCUAGAUAUAUUUUAAUUCUAGAUAUAUUCAUUUUUUUGACAAGUAAUUUAGAACGAAGGGAGUACCUG